GUACCCGUAGCUCAGUUGGAUAGAGCGUCAGAUUGCGGAUCUGAAGGUCGCAGGUUCAAAUCCCGCCGGGUACG
rnacentral:tRNA from 1 species